rnacentral:lncRNA from 10 species
AUCUCCUUCCCCUUUGUAUUCUACAAAGUUCCCAACAAUAUCAAUGAAUAAGAAGGAAGUCUUAAGGCUCCAGGAAUCCCCUCAGGGAGACUAGCUUUCAGAAUUUUAGGCACACUAAGAUAUGGAAGCUAAAAGAGGACUAAGAGGAUUCUGGGGAUAUUACAAGAUAUUGCAGACUAUCUUGUUUUCCUGGAAAAGGAUUUUACCUCAGUCGACUGAAUUACUUUUUUCACUGUGUCUUGCCACUCUUCGUGCAUGCAUCAAAGACCCUAAUAUGACUUCUGGUGGCCUGGGACUCCUUGGGAAAACAGAAAAGGGGCCACAAAUCCCAUUUUGGGAACAAUCUGUUUUACUCAUGGAACCCCUGGAAUUAGAGGUGUGUAAGUACCUCUCAAAAUCUGUCUUUGUCUUCUGGCUAUGCUUUUU